rnacentral:rRNA from 1 species
AUUGAACGCUGGCGGCAUGCCUUACACAUGCAAGUCGAACGGUAACAGGUCUUCGGAUGCUGACGAGUGGCGAACGGGUGAGUAAUACAUCGGAACGUGCCCGAUCGUGGGGGAUAACGGAGCGAAAGCUUUGCUAAUACCGCAUACGAUCUACGGAUGAAAGCAGGGGACCGCAAGGCCUUGCGCGGACGGAGCGGCCGAUGGCAGAUUAGGUAGUUGGUGGGAUAAAAGCUUACCAAGCCGACGAUCUGUAGCUGGUCUGAGAGGACGACCAGCCACACUGGGACUGAGACACGGCCCAGACUCCUACGGGAGGCAGCAGUGGGGAAUUUUGGACAAUGGGCGAAAGCCUGAUCCAACCAUGCCGCGUGCAGGAUGAAGGCCUUCGGGUUGUAAACUGCUUUUGUACGGAACGAAAAGACUCUUUCUAAUAAAGAGGGUCCAUGACGGUACCGUAAGAAUAAGCACCGGCUAACUACGUGCCAGCAGCCGCCGUAA